GGAAAAAGCAGUAAUGUGCUCAGAGACACACAGGGACUAGGUAAAGAUGGUAAGCCCCAGCAGACGACUCAGCUGCGAUGCCCACCCUCACUGGAAGAGCUGUGCUAGUGCUGCAGCGACCAGAAAAGAGGGACCACGUGCCUCACCAGGGGAGCUGCAUCUCAGGCUCUGAUCCCAGCUCUCCUGCUGACCUGCUGGGUGACCAUCAGCACAUCACCACGCUUUUCUGUACUUUGGUGGACACCCAGAAUGAGACAGAUGUACAGCAACGGAAAGUUUCCAGGCUGCCUGCAAUCUCCACGGUUUUGAACACCUAAAACUGGAGGCUCUUAUUGAAAAUACGAUAGCAGAUUCCAGGAAAGAUGAGAUUUUGGGAGGAAACGGGAAAUUGAUGCUUUCAUCAGAAAGAAAUCCCCCAAAGCACAGUGCAAGGUGUGGCAGACUUUGCAGCGUGUACAAGAGCAAAGUAGCAUGCACUGUGCCCAUUGCACGCCUCUCUGGUGCAAGCAGAGCAGAAAGCCUGUAUUUUGCUCACUGCUCAUUUUUUGUGGUGCACUGAGAAGAAGAAAUGCAAUACAAUAGAAGUAUGGCCAUCCCUCACCCUCUUCAGUAAGUGAGCUGAUUUUUAUUAUUCUUCAGCAAGGCUGAAGAACUCAGAUAACAUCAAGUUAAGUACACAUAUACCUCUGAAAACCACAGCCAUGUUCCUUGCUGCUGUUUGAAAAGUAACAACUAGGAACAUAAUAUUCUGCAGAAAGCGAGGAAAAGAUGCUUAAGAUUCAAAGGAGAUCAUCAAAUAUCUUUGGAGAACUAUCUUAGGGGCUAAGGCAGGAAGGAUGGUGCCAGCUGUAAGCUCAGUCUCAGGAAUCGUUUAAAAGGAAUGAUGGCACUAAGAUUUGCAGCCAUUUCUCUAACUGCUUUCCCAGAUGAAGGCAUCUCAGAUUAAAAUGUACGGGGUGUGUCUGGGGUUAUUUUUAUAGCUGGUCAGAAAAUUCAUGGGAGGAAUUACUGGAAAGGCAUAUCAAUAUACAUACAAUUACACUAUGAGGCAUUUAUCACACAUCAGAUACAAUUGAAAUGCAAACUGGCUUAACAUUGACAUUUCUCUGCCCUCCCAGCACAAAACUGGGCACACAUCUGCUUUCAUUUAUUGAAAAUUUGCAUUGCCUGUGCUAAAACCAGGUAUUUAUCCUAGAGCAUGAGAGAGUAAGCAUUGCAUGACAGCUAAGUAUUUUAAUACAUACAGCUGAAUUUAACCUUAAUGAAUUCAAAAGUUUUUAGUGUUGCUGAGUUGAAUAAAAAUUGAAGGGAACACUACUGUUGCACCAGUAUCUCCCCCCGCCCUUUUAUAAUGUCUAUAUUCACUUAAAAAAAGUUAAACUCUCCAAAACACUUCCCACCUUGAUCUUUCUCUCUCUCUACUUAUAUGUUCAUGUACCACAUUCACAUGACAUCAGACCACUUUUACUUUACUGGUGAUUAUUUGCCACUCAUGCUGAAAGCUUCUCUUCCCUCCCCUAUCACAAAGUUGCUCACACACCACCCUUCUCGAAUCCCCCCCAGAUGUGCCAACCACAUGCCAAGCCCAUCUGGGGACACUGACUUCUUGCUGCUACCCAGCCAACAUGCCCAUGGAACCUCCACAGCCCAUGAAUCCACCAGGAGCUGGGGACUCCUGUUCCAGAAGGAUACCCUCCCUUCCCCACUGCUGGUUGCUUUAUGAGCUGGGGUGUGGCAGAAACUGCCAAUAUCAGCACAACAGCAGCAAAACAAGAAGUUUAAUCCACUGCUGAACUAGGACUAUUUGGCCUCUUACAGGUAGUGUAAGCAUAAUCCCUAGGAGAGCACAGCAAACAUCUCCCCAACACAUCUGACACUGACAUACAGACCAGCUCUGACACAGCUUCCCUCCAAGUAAUUAGCUCCUCAUUUUAAUGAAUCUCUCUGGAUGAGAGGUUUCAUCCAGCCACUUAAUGAGGCAUCAGCUGUCUGAUCUUUAACCUUGAAGCAAAAGAAUAACAUCUGACUUAAAAGCAAAGAGUUUGCCGAAGCAGCCACGGCAAACCUCAUUGAUAAGUCAAUGCAGGAUUCAACUGAAACAUUCAGAUGUGAUGAGAGCACAGGGGGGGAAAAAAAACAAAAACAAACAGCCCACCCAACACAAUCAGGGUAGCAUUAACAUCCUUUCCCAUAUCUACUGCUUCUCACUUGCUCCUUUGGCAGGUCACCAAGGAAUUGCCAACAGAGAAUGGAUAACUGUGUCCAUCUAACUGGAGGUCAGCUGAACCAGACUUUGCUAAGGAAACUCUUUGCACUUUAGUUCAAAAAAAGGGUAUUGCAAAUUCCAAGAGGAAAAACCCCAGAGGGCUAUUAAACACAGAGAUUCAGCUUCUGACUUAGGAAGUGCUCCAAUCAAAAGCCAAAAAAGUGUUCUAAGAAAUUCCAUGACAUGCUUAUUCUUACAUAUCUUAUUUGCUAGAGAGAAGGGGGUCUCUACACAGCAUUUUAGUCCAAACCACUGUGUCCUACUGCAGGAUCAGAGACAACAUUGACAGCCUCCUGUCAACAUCCAAAAACUUCCACAGGUGAAGGAUGAGUCAGCUGGGAUUUUCUCACUUCAGUUAACUGCAGUAAAGAUUAACUGGAAAAGUUAACUGCAGGAUAUAACUAAAAUAUUUCAAUGUCCCAAUGAUUACCUAUUUCUCAAGACUGUUGUGCAGAGCCACUUUAUCAAGUAACAUUACUUACGUAAGUGGCUGUUUUGACUUCCAAAUUACCUGUCAGCAUUUGUGAAUUUCUCCAAAUAAAGUCAGAAAAUACCUAGUUACAGACUGUGAACACUGUAUGGCGAAACCUUUUCAGUGAGUAGAUUGCAUCAAUCAUAGCUGAACCAAUUUACCUGGGCCUCUCCAAGUCAGUCAGAGGAAUCAACAGAAAAUAUUUGUGACUUCAGCAUGAGACCAAGUCAAAAACGAUGGACCUGUUGCAUGGAUAAGGACACUUUCUUGACCAUUCAGCAUGAACAGUGAGCAGGUGUUAUCUAACAAGCCCCAAAGAGUGUGUUUGGGAAGUCUGGGGACCACUGAGGUGGAGGGAGGCUGGAGCAUUCAACAGAGGAACAGUGCUUCUGGGGGGAUCCAGAUGACUGAGUACAAUGAAAACAAUCCAGGGGAGAUCUACAGAGAGGGUCUCAGCACCAUUUUUGCCCCCCCACCACACAGCAAUAACCAGACAGAAAAAAGUGCCCUUAUCAAGCAUGAUGUUUGCAUGUCCUUGAUGGGGGACUGACGGUCAAAUGCUUUGAACAACCACUGUCAUUUCUGCAUUGUCUGCAAGCACAUGAGCUGCUGGCACAGCCUGUGCCAAGACGAUUGGCGGUGCCUAGGUUCAGCACUCUCACAUCUGUCAAUCUGUUCCAGCAGGGUGAAAGUCUAAAGUACUAGCAGGCUCUGAGAAAUUAUAAUAAGCCAAGAAAAAUGGCCUUUCCAUAUAAAAAUGGAAAUUUAAAUGAAAAUGUUUGCUUAUUAAAUCCCCAUUUGUUCCCUGUAUGUUUAAAUAUAGAGCUUUCCUUUCUCCUUAGGAAAGACAAUUUGGAAGUAAAGCACAGUUUCACAAGUGGUGGUUUUGGUUUGGUUUUUUUUUACUGGGAAAGAAGUGAAGAUAUUUGGUUAAAAGUAGUCACCACAGUCUUCAUUAAAGUAAAGCAACAUUUUUUUCUAUUCCCCUGUAGGGAAGGCAAUACAAGAAAGGCAUCAGCAGACUCGGUUCCCUCGCAAGCUAGCUUACAAAGGAACCGCUGGUGCGUGAUGGGUUAAGAGUGGAAACAUAAGCAGAAAAUUGGAGAAAAAGCUGGCAGCUCCUAGGAAGAGCUGCAAAAGCAUCACGAGACAUGCACCGUUCCCACCCGGGCAGCCCCUCACAGCCAAGCAUCCCCAUAUUUUCUUGGGGGGGGGCAGUACCCAUAAAAGGGAAAAGGAAGGGAUCCAUUGCCUUCCCACUACCAUACUGCAGCCAAAAGACCUGCUGCAAAGCCAUGCAGCUUUUCAUUUUCAAUGUCUGAUCAGCUCAUAGGUGGAGGCACACACUACUCAGCAGCCCUGGUGCUGGAGCUGGGAGUUACCACUGGUCCAGUUCAAAAUUCCAAGGUAGAAACGCAAGCUUUUCUACCACUCCAGUACAGCCAUCAGUUAUCUUCAUAUUUUUCUCUAUUAAAAAAUAGAGCUUGUGUUCGUCUGAUUAAAGUAAUUUUCAAA